rnacentral:tmRNA from 1 species
GGUAUUGGAAGCUUAGGCCGCCGCGCCUAUAUUCCUCGCGUUCGGGUUCGCCCGGACUAUGGCGAUAAACGUGCCUGCAAUAAGCGGACCGGACCCGGGUGCGAUUCCCGGCGGCUCCACCAAUCUCCCCUUCGUUAUCAAAGGGGCGCGCGGGGCCGACCAGCAUCGACGGACGUGUAAAGAGGUUGCCUUCGCCCGUCCUGGCCCACCGUAUCGGGCCUUUGACUAACUGCGAACGAUAACUUCGCUGGAGAAGUCGCUCUCGCCGCGUAAGCGGUUCGGGUGAUUUCGAACACUUAAGUCCUCGGGGUUCAGAUCCCGGGGCGGGGCUCCCCGGGCGCCUGGCAACAGAAGCCCGGGACU